GAUGAACGCUGGCGGUGUGCCUAAUACAUGCAAGUCGAGCGAACAGACGAGGAGCUCGCUCUCUUGACGUUAGCGGCGGACGGGCGAGUAACACGUGGAUAACCUACUUAUAAGACGGGGAGAAUUUCGGGAAAACGGAGAUACUACUGGAUAAUACAUUGAACCGCAUGGAUCAAUAGUGAAUGACGGCUUUGCCGUCACUUUGAGCUGGAUCCGCGUCGCAUUAGCUAGUUGGUAAGGUAACGGCUUACCAAGGCAACGAUGCGUAGCCGACCUGAGAGGGUGAUCGGCCACACUGGAACUGAGACACGGUCCAGACUCCUACGGGAGGCAGCAGUAGGGAAUCUUCCGCAAUGGGCGAAAGCCUGACGGAGCAACGCCGCGUGAGUGAUGAAGGUCUUCGGAUCGUAAAACUCUGUUAUUAGGGAAGAACAAAUGUGUGAGUAACUAUGCACGUCUUGACGGUACCUAAUCAGAAAGCCACGGCUAACUACGUG
rnacentral:rRNA from 1 species